CAGCCGCCGCGGGAAUACGAAGGGUGCAAGCAUUAAUCGGAAUUACUGGGCGUAAAGCGUGCGUAGGCGGUGAGUUAAGUCUGCUGUGAAACCCCCGGGCUCAACCUGGGAAUGGCAGUGGAUACUGGCUCGCUAGAGUGUGUCAGAGGAUGGUGGAAUUCCCGGUGUAGCGGUGAAAUGCGUAGAGAUCGGGAGGAACAUCAGUGGCGAAGGCGGCCAUCUGGGACAACACUGAUGCUGAGGCACGAAAGCGUGGGGAGCAAACAGGAUUAGAUACCCCAGUAGUCCCUGUCUCUUAUAC
rnacentral:rRNA from 1 species